GUGAGUGGCGUGUUGUUGGUGAGUGGAAUGUUGUUUGUGAUGUGCUGUACUUGUUAGUUUCAUUUGAAUUUAUGGGUUUUGUGUUUCUAUAUAUGUACUGUAUGGUUAGAUAUGGUUAUCAGUCAUAUUAUUUUAGCGUUUAUCAGGCAUAUGAAAUGUGACUUUUGAUGGUUUUUUUUUUUGGGUAGGGGCUCAUCUUAGCCUUAAUAUAAAUCCCGACCCUCUUGAUUCUUCUCCAACCCAUGAUUUCAUUUUAUCAUUUGUAAUAAUUACUUAUUAAUUAAGCGAUCCCACGAAUGCAUUUAAAGAGGGUAAUUCUAUCUCUUUCUCUUUGAAUCGAUUGAAUCGAAUCCACUACUCCAUUAUCUCUAGGCUAUUCCUCCAUCAUCUAGUUUAAAAUGAUUGAGGGACCCUGAUUUUGAACCAAAACUUUUAGCCUUAAUGGGUAAAUUUUUCAUAAUAUCACCAUUAACAAGCUAAGAUAAAGCUUCAUACUUGACAAUCAAUUCGUGAAGCGCCAAGCUACAGUUUUUCUUGUCAAGGUUAGAAGAAAGAGAAUUCAAGAUUUGGUAAGCUUAAACACAAAAUCAAAGCUUCAAGAGGCAAAAGAAGUUAUUUUUCAUAAUUUCUUUACGAUCCAUGAUUGUUUUUGAUUUGUAAUAAUUUUUAUAGGUAGUUUAGAAUGUGUAAUAUUAAGACUAGAGCUCUGAUCAUGCAUGGAUGCUGCUUUUGAGUUUCAUUUAUUUUGUUGGAAUUGUAAAAAUCUGUUCUUGGAUCUGACAUCCAAUGGGUUAGAUUCUAGCAUUACU